rnacentral:rRNA from 1 species
AGUGAACGCUGGCGGUAGGCCUAACACAUGCAAGUCGAACGGCAGCACAGUAAGAGCUUGCUCUUACGGGUGGCGAGUGGCGGACGGGUGAGGAAUACAUCGGAAUCUACUUUUUCGUGGGGGAUAACGUAGGGAAACUUACGCUAAUACCGCAUACGACCUACGGGUGAAAGCAGGGGAUCUUCUGACCUUGCGCGAUUGAAUGAGCCGAUGUCGGAUUAGCUAGUUGGCGGGGUAAAGGCCCACCAAGGCGACGAUCCGUAGCUGGUCUGAGAGGAUGAUCGGCCACACUGGAACUGAGACACGGUCCAGAGUCCUACGGGAGGCAGCAGUGGGGAACAUUGGACAAUGGGCGCAAGCCUGAUCCAGCCAUACCGCGUGGGUGAAGAAGGCCUUCGGGUUGUAAAGCCCUUUUGUUGGGAAAGAAAAGCAGCAGGUUAAUACCCCGCUGUUCUGACGGUACCCAAAGAAUAAGCACCGGCUAACUUCGUG